CCUCUUAUGUACGCGUACCAGUAAUCCUAUACCAUGGGAAAGCUCUGAAGAGCACAGAAGUUCAGCCUCAAUGAGAAAUUUAAUAUCCAGUACUUUCUUUAUGGUAAUUGAAGGAACCAGAAGGCAACGCAAAACGAAAACUAUAGAAACCAGAUCAAGUCUGAAAUGUAAUGUGGUGUCGGAACUAUGACUCCACCAUAGCCAUUGCAUUUGAAACAAUUUAUGUAUGACUUUCAAUUUGCAGUGGCGUCAAUGAUUGAUAGUUCUUUUGCUUGUUUCGUUGGAUCAGGAGAACCAAAAAAAAACAGAAUAUAGAACUAUCAAUAUCCAGAAUUCAUUUUACUAAAACGUAAUAUUAAAGUUUGUUGUAUUUCUCUGCAGUAGAUUUUUAUUCUUUUCUGAUUUUUUUCUACAAGUCAGUAUUUCAGAAGUUUGUCCAGUAUCCUAGGAAAGAGUCGUAAUGCUAGCAGAGAACAGGUCACACGUUGGAAUCAUUGUAGUGAAUGCAAAUUGACAGUUGAAAGACUCGCAAUUUCAAAAUUAUUGUUGUAAUUUCAAGUGGUUGACUUACGUACGGCGUCGUUCAUGAUCUCGAUUGUGUUUAAUAAUAAAAUGUUUCAACCGGUAUGUACAUCGGAAACUGAUGGGCAAAAAACGGGAGGAAUCAAAAUAAAAUAAUCAUUUUUAGCUCCACAGAAGUUAAUCCUGUAAUGAUUUCCCUGCAGGUGGGAACUUUAAAGCUCAAAACUUUAUAUUCGUCCUAGAAGAUAAAAUAAAAAGUGGUCGCCUAAAAA